GAUGAACGCUGGCGGCGUGCCUAAUACAUGCAAGUCGAGCGAAUGGAUUAAGAGCUUGCUCUUAUGAAGUUAGCGGCGGACGGGUGAGUAACACGUGGGUAACCUGCCCAUAAGACUGGGAUAACUCCGGGCAACCGGUGCUAAUACCGGAUAACAUUUUGAACCGCCUGGUUCGUCAUUGAAAGGCGGCUUCGUCUGUCACUUAUGGAUGGUCCCGCGUCGCAUUAGCUAGUUGUGAAGGUAACGGCUCACCUAGGCAACGAGGCGUAGCCCACCUGAAAGGGUGAUCGGCCACACUGGGGCAGAGACACGGCCCAGACUCCUACGGGAGGCAGCAGUAGGGAAUCUUCCGCAAUGGACGAAGUCUGACGGGGCAACGCCGCGUGAGUGAUGAAGGCUUUCGGGUCGUAAAACUCUGUUGUUAGGGAAGAACAAGUGCUAGUUGAAUAAGCUGGCACCUUGACGGUACCUAACCAGAAAGCCACGGCUAACUACGUGCCAGCAGCCGCAGUAA
rnacentral:rRNA from 1 species